rnacentral:rRNA from 1 species
CCUACGGGUGGCAGCAGUAGGGAAUAUUGCUCAAUGGGGGAAACCCUGAAGCAGCAACGCCGCGUGGAUGAUGAAGGUUUUCGGAUUGUAAACCCCUUUUGUCAGAGAAGAAAAUGACGGUAUCUAACGAAUAAGCACCGGCUAACUCCGUGCCAGCAGCCGCGGUAAUACGGAGGGGGCAAGCGUUACCCGGAAUCACUGGGCGUAAAGAGCGCGUAGGCGGGAUAGCAAGUCAGAUGUGAAAUCCUAUGGCUUAACCAUAGAACUGCAUUUGAAACUGUUUUUCUAGAGUAUAGGAGAGGUAGGUGGAAUUCUUGGUGUAGGGGUAAAAUGCGUAGAGAUCAGGAGGAAUACUGAUUGCGAAGGCGACCUGCUAGAACGUAACUGACGCUGAUGCGCGAAAGCGUGGGGAGCAAACAGGAUUAGAUACCCGAGUAGUC